rnacentral:rRNA from 1 species
AUUGAGCGCUGGCGGCAUGCCUUACACAUGCAAGUCGAACGGUAACAGGUCUUCGGAUGCUGACGAGUGGCGAACGGGUGAGUAAUACAUCGGAACGUGCCCGAGAGUGGGGGAUAACGAGGCGAAAGCUUUGCUAAUACCGCAUACGAUUUCAGGAUGAAAGCAGGGGACCGCAAGGCCUUGCGCUCACGGAGCGGCCGAUGGCAGAUUAGGUAGUUGGUGGGAUAAAAGCUUACCAAGCCGACGAUCUGUAGCUGGUCUGAGAGGACGACCAGCCACACUGGGACUGAGACACGGCCCAGACUCCUACGGGAGGCAGCAGUGGGGAAUUUUGGACAAUGGGCGCAAGCCUGAUCCAGCCAUGCCGCGUGCAGGAUGAAGGCCUUCGGGUUGUAAACUGCUUUUGUACGGAACGAAAAGACUCCUUCUAAUAAAGGGGGUCCAUGACGGUACCGUAAGAAUAAGCACCGGCUAACUACGUGCCAGCCGCCGCAGUAAAAC